rnacentral:rRNA from 1 species
AGAGUUUGAUCAUGGCUCAGAAUGAACGUUGGCGGCGUGCCUAACACAUGCAAGUCGAGCGAGAAAGCUCCUUCGGGAGUGAGUAAAGCGGCGAACGGGUGUCUAACACGUAAGAAUCUUCCCUUCAGUGAAGAAUACCCUCGAGAAAUCGGGGUUAAUACUGCAUAAUCCCUACGGGGCAAAGGUGGCUUUAUGCUGCCGCUGAAGGAUGAGCUUGCGGGCUAUUAGCUAGUUGGAGAGGUAAAGGCUCACCAAGGCGAUGAUGGCUAGCCGGCCUGAGAGGGUGUACGGCCACAUUGGGACUGAGACACGGCCCAGACUCCUACGGGAGGCAGCAGUGGGGAAUAUUGCGCAAUGGGCGAAAGCCUGACGCAGCGACGCCGCGUGGAGGACGAAGGUCUUCGGAUUGUAAACUCCUGUUAAGUGGGAAGAAAACCCAAUCUCUAAUAUAGGUUGGGCAUGACGGUACCACUAAAGAAAGCACUGGCUAACCUCGUGCCAGCAGCCGCGGUAAUACGAGGGGUGCAAACGUUAUUCGGAUUUACUGGGUGUAAAGGGUGUGUAGACGGUCUGUUAAGUUCGUUGUUAAAUUUUUCGGCCUAACUGAAAACUUGCGAUGAAAACUGGCGGACUAGAGGGUGAAAGAGAGAAGUGGAAUUCUCGGAGUAGCGGUAAAAUGCGUAGAUCUCGAGAGGAACACCGAUGGCGAAAGCAGCUUCUUGGUUCACAUCUGACGUUGAAACACGAAAGCGUGGGGAGCAAACAGGAUUAGAUACCCUGGUAGUCCACGCUGUAAACGAUGAUCACUGGAUGUCAGCUUUGCUUUGCAAAGUUGGUAUCGAAGCUAACGCGUUAAGUGAUCCACCUGGGAACUACGAUCGCAAGAUUAAACUCAAAGGAAUUGACGGGGGUCCGCACAGCGGUGACAUGUGGUUUAUCGACACUACGCGAGGACUUACUGGGCUUGACAUGCUCUUGCCGUUGUAG